CGGGGUGUAGCGCAGCCGGUAGCGCGCUUGGUUCGGGACCAAGAGGUCGUGGGUUCGAAUCCCGUCACUCCGA
rnacentral:tRNA from 1 species